UCAUGUAAUGUCUAAUCCAGUAAUAUAUAUUCAUUCAUAUAUACAUCAGUGCUGCUGCCUCUCUGUCCUUCCAUCUUCUCUCACACAUGCUGCUACUUAGCAGUAGGUGUCAGGAUUACUUUGUGUUGCAUUCAAUGUUGUCGGAAAAAGGAGAUUCAUGCGCUAAUGUCCGAUUUGCCAUAACUAUUUAUUGAAUUCAUAGUCACCAGCUGUGGUGGCAACAGGGGUGGCAAGGCUCUCAGUUGGAGUGGCAACUGCCAACCCCAGCCACCCCAGUAGUUCCGCCCUUGCAUGGAGGCUCUGUUUGUUGCGACUUAAUAUAGUUUUCUUCAUAAACUUAACCUGGUUUUAAUUAAGCUCAGUAUGCCAAAGAGACUUUGAUAUUGUGAGGCUGUUAUAAUUCGUUCAUCAUUGUUUUUAUCUUCAACAUAUUUUUGCAGUCUAAUCAAAUUAAGAUGAAAGCCAGGGAUCAAGUAUUAGGAAACCUAUAGAUUUUCCUGUCUCAGAAGAGGCUCUAGCUCCACCAGAUCACCACACUGGGAUGAACCUCCACAUCAGCUUUAUGGUGGAAGGAUUUAUUUAUUUUUUUUACACUGGGCAGCUGGCUAAAUUUUUAACAGCAAAAACUGGUGGAUUACCAACACUAAGUGCUUAAUAAAUAUGAUUUGAUUUUAAAAAAUAUUUGGACAGAAUUUAUUCCCCUUGUUAAUCUACCAUUUCUCUUUCACACAUUUUAUUCUUUGUUAGCUUUCAGGGCCCUGUGAUGGACUGGUUACCUGUCCAGGGUGGACCCUGCCUCUCAUCUGAUAACUGCCGGAGAUGGGCACCACAAGCCCCUCUCACCACUCUGCAAAAAUCAGCGUGUUCAGAUCAUGGGUGAAAAGCUUUUAAGGCAAAGAAGACACCCAGAAAUGUUUUUCCACUCCAGGCAUCUGGUCUCAAUCAUCAUCAGUUCUGAUGAUGCCACAUGCAUAGCGAGUCCACAGCAUCCUAAAAUUGUUUCUGUAAAGUGCAGUGGUGCAGUGAAUGGGAAUCUUCCGUCAUUGAUCCUCACUGUUCUUAGGAAGGAGAAAUGUCAUUUUGUCUUGAGUAAUACUGGAAUACUGUGAUAUUGAAUUAAAACA